UGUGGGGAGGAGGAAGAGAGACUAGCAGAGUUUUUAUCAUGCAGAUGAUCUCACCAGUGCUGAUCUGGAAUUUGAGUUUGAAUGUUGAAAGGUCACAUUCCUGAGAUUCAUUUUCCACUCUUCUCCACCCUGCUGUACACCCAGGAAGGAUGGCCUCUAUUGUUUACAGCAAAGGACUUCCUUACCUUUUGUUUCCUGGUUGGGUUUGGCCAAAGGGAGACAUAGGCAGGAUAUUGGAACAUGGGGAGGAAUUGAAGUAAGAAUAUUUGUUCCUCUGGCUCCUUCCUUGUGGAGUCACUAUUGUUGACUUCAGUUUGCCUGCUGAAGGCCACAGCUGUUGUUAAGUUGCCUGAAUAUAUAGCUACCCAUUCUGGGUUCCAGUUAUCAUCCUCAUAUCUUCAGCCCUAGGUAUGGUAACCUCUAAAUCUUGCCCACACUUUUAUUAAUGGUCCCUUUAUUAAAGUAUUCUCAAAUUA